AUCUACAAUUUUCGCACUUACAG
rnacentral:miRNA from 1 species